GACGAACGCUGGCGGCGUGCCUAAUACAUGCAAGUAGGACGCACAGUUUAUACCGUAGCUUGCUACACCAUAGACUGUGAGUUGCGAACGGGUGAGUAACGCGUAGGUAACCUGCCUAUUAGAGGGGGAUAACUAUUGGAAACGAUAGCUAAUACCGCAUAACAGUAUGUAACACAUGUUAGAUGCUUGAAAGAUGCAAUUGCAUCGCUAGUAGAUGGACCUGCGUUGUAUUAGCUAGUAGGUAGGGUAAAGGCCUACCUAGGCAACGAUACAUAGCCGACCUGAGAGGGUGAUCGGCCACACUGGGACUGAGACACGGCCCAGACUCCUACGGGAGGCAGCAGUAGGGAAUCUUCGGCAAUGGGGGGAACCCUGACCGAGCAACGCCGCGUGAGUGAAGAAGGUUUUCGGAUCGUAAAGCUCUGUUGUUAAGGAAGAAACGAGUG
rnacentral:rRNA from 1 species